AUUGAACGCUGGCGGCAGGCCUAACACAUGCAAGUCGAGCGGAUGAAGGGAGCUUGCUCCUGGAUUCAGCGGCGGACGGGUGAGUAAUGCCUAGGAAUCUGCCUGGUAGUGGGGGAUAACGUCCGGAAACGGGCGCUAAUACCGCAUACGUCCUGAGGGAGAAAGUGGGGGAUCUUCGGACCUCACGCUAUCAGAUGAGCCUAGGUCGGAUUAGCUAGUUGGUGGGGUAAAGGCCUACCAAGGCGACGAUCCGUAACUGGUCUGAGAGGAUGAUCAGUCACACUGGAACUGAGACACGGUCCAGACUCCUACGGGAGGCAGCAGUGGGGAAUAUUAGACAAUGGGCGAAAGCCUGAUCCAGCCCUGCCGCGUGUGUGAAGAAGGUCUUCGGAUUGUAAAGCACUUUAAGUUGGGAGGAAGGGCAGUAAGUUAAUACCUUGCUGUUUUGACGUUACCAACAGAAUAAGCACCGGCUAACUUCGUG
rnacentral:rRNA from 1 species